rnacentral:rRNA from 1 species
AACGAACGCUGGCGGCAUGCCUAAUACAUGCAAGUCGAACGAGACCUUCGGGUCUAGUGGCGCACGGGUGCGUAACGCGUGGGAAUCUGCCCUUGGGUUCGGAAUAACGUCGGGAAACUGACGCUAAUACCGGAUGAUGACGUAAGUCCAAAGAUUUAUCGCCCAAGGAUGAGCCCGCGUAGGAUUAGCUAGUUGGUGAGGUAAAGGCUCACCAAGGCGACGAUCCUUAGCUGGUCUGAGAGGAUGAUCAGCCACACUGGGACUGAGACACGGCCCAGACUCCUACGGGAGGCAGCAGUAGCGAAUAUUGGACAAUGGGGGCAACCCUGAUCCAGCAAUGCCGCGUGAGUGAUGAAGGCCUUAGGGUUGUAAAGCUCUUUUACCCGGGAUGAUAAUGACAGUACCGGGAGAAUAAGCCCCGGCUAACUCCGUGCCAGCCGCCGCGGUAACAC